UGGUCCCAUUCCCAAGUGCCCUAGAAUCACCCAAUCUUUUCAACAGGAAGUGAGAACAAAUUGAUGAAAUGAUGGAACUAAUUAAGACUUCCCAAAGUCCACAAUUGAAUGACACAAUAGAGGAAGCUACACCCAUAAUUCUUCUCCAAAAUUUAUUAGAUCCCUAUCAAGCUCAUUUUGGAAUGGAUAAUUUUGAUGAAGAUGGGUAUAUUAUAGAAGUACAUGACCUAGUAGAUACAUCCUACCCCAAAACCACCCCACUUG
rnacentral:lncRNA from 1 species